GGGGGAGGUUUGGGUGUUUCUGGGGUGGGCACUGGACUCUGGGUCCUCUACGAACCGACCUUAUUAUUAUUAUUAUUAGUUGUAAAUUGACACAGUAUUUUUUCAUGUAUUUAUUUUUUUGUGGUGCUGAGGAUCAAAACCAGUGCCUCACACCUGUGAGGCAAGCGCUCUACCACUGAGCUACAGUCCCAGGCCCCCGACCUUAUUCUUGUCCCCACCCCCAGGACACCAUGAGUGGUUGCUUGGGCCUGAAGUCGACAUUCUUCCCUUCUUGCUACUGCCUCUGGCUGGGCCUGAGGAUUUCUCGGAGGAAGAGAUGAACCGUGAGUGGCUUGGAUUGAUGGUGCCUAAGGGUGGGCCAGGCAGGAAGGAAGUCAACCCCAGGAGAGGGACGAGAAAGUGCCCAGACCCCUUCUGAAACUUUCCAGGAAAGAGUUGCUGAGCACAGAUGAGGCUCACCCAGGUAGAGCCAGGUCUAACUGCCCAGUCAAGGCACCCAGUGCCUCCCACACUCACCCCCAGGGUUGCCUGUUGACCUGCAGUACCUGCCGCCAGAGAAGCAGCGUGAACCUGAUGCUGACAUCCGCAAGAUGCUCAUUGAAGCCAUCAUGCUGGUGAGCAGGGGUGUGCUAUGUUAAUGCCACCGUUCUACACACACAUAGGAGCACACUGACAUAUGAGUAACCUCUUCAAUAUCCCCAGCUGACAGCCACUGCACCUGGGCGGCAGCAGGUGCGGGACCAGGGAACCUACCUGAUCCUUCGAGAGCUGCAUAGCUGGGAACCAGAGCCUGAUGUGCGGUUGGCUUGUGAAAAGCUCAUCCAGGUGGGUGCAAGGUUGGAAAGGCUGAGGAAUGGGAGCCCACAGCUGUCCAGCUGUUCUACUCACCUGCCUCUUCUCCUGGCAGGUGCUAAUUGGAGAUGAGCCAGAAUGUGGCAUGGAAAACCUGCUGGAGGUGCAGGUGCCUGAGGAUGUGGAACGACAGCUGCAGCAGCUGGACCGGGAGCAGCAGCAGCUGGCCCAAGAGUCAAGGGUGGAAGGGACUGCACCUACCUGAGGUCCCUUCAGCAUGGGAGUCCAGAGCCACCUUUGCCAGACCUGCUAGACCAGACCUGCCUACAGACCUUCAAAUCCCCUGUGCCCGCUGAGAAGCAGAGCUAUACUUAGGCUAGAGUGAAUGCUCAGUAAAUGUUGGAGGGUUGAGGACACUUCCCAACCCUAUGUCUCCUGUUGAUA
rnacentral:lncRNA from 1 species